UGUUAAUACCUUUCAUAUACUGCCAAUGCGGUGAAUGAGUAAUACUUCCUCCUUCUGACGGUGUUUCUGUUGGCCUUAGCGAAAAAAUGGAUGUCCUGUACAGGAAAUCACAGAAGUUGUCUUUGUCUAACGAAGCUAAUAGAGAUGGAUCUACCUUUUGACAGCUUGAAAACUAAAUUCAAAUAACUCUUUCCUCAUAUAAUCUAGUUUUGUUUGUUAUAUUCAAGUUACAAGUUAUUAACUCAUUCUUGGUAGUAAAUAAUUAUUAAUUCAAUUACAAUUGCAAUGUUUCUGUUCACUAAAUGCUACUUUAGAUCUUUAAGAGAUUUUUCUUAUAAUUAAACGGAUAUUGGCGAAGAUUGCAACAUAUUUGUUAUAAUCAAAUUACAAUUUUAGGGUACAGAUUUGCUUGGCCAUAUAAGUGUGAUUUUUUGACUUAAUUCAAUAAACAACAAUCUAAUUC